GAAGGCACAGCAUGUGGGGCACAUCUGAGAGCCUCCUGGCCUAGUCUGCUCCGACUAGGAGGCAGAAGUUCCUGGCACACGUUCUGGUGACACUGCAAGGCACUCCUGAGGGGCCCAAGGCCCCUGCUCUGGAGCCAAAGCCCAUCCCUCUAACCUCCAAAUGCCAGCCAAGGCGAGGAGGGAGGCACUGAAAACAAUGAACCUUUAAUGGACCUUCACAGCCUGUCAGCCAGCAAGUGGCAGGAGGGAGGCCAGGGAAGAAGCAGCAGUGCCUGCUGGCUGCCUCUGAGAGGGGAGCUGGCUGGACACAGCCUGUCCCUCAGCAUGUUUCUGCUGAGAAAACCAGCUGCUGGGUUGUGAGUGGCAGGCAGGGCCUUGGCAGCUGCAGCCCCCUUCCACACUGCUGUCCUCACCCUCCUGUCCAGCUCCCUCUGCCACCAUCAUCCCCUCUGGCUUGGCCACACCCCUGCCUACCCAGCACUGAGGCUGGGAAGCCCUGGGAGGACAGGGCACUGUCCAGGUGGCGAUGAUGGUGGCGGGAGGGGAGCAGAGGAGGUGGGUGGCUACAGUGGGCUACACUCACCCCUUUCUCCUGGGCUGACUCAUGGAUCCCGGCUCACCUUUACUGUAUUCCUCCCACCCCAGCAGUCCUGGGCCCACACCGCCAGGUCUCCGCAGGUCCAUUCCAGCUCCCGGGCCUGCCAGACACGGCUGCGUUCCUCUGAAGAGCCUGGCCCUCUACACGCACGCAAGCUGGCCUCCUCACGGCUUCCUGACAAACUCAGACCCCUGCAGCAGGUUUUCUAGUUUCUGUCCUUGCUUUCAAGGCACAUCAACUUGGGGAAGAAAGCCCUUUCCAAUUCUCCUGCUCUCUAUUACACAAAUGCUUCCUGGCCCUGUGGGGGCUCUACCCCCUCCAUCAGGCUCACCUCUUUCCUAUGGAAGAAGGGAUCUAUGGAUACAGGAAUCCUCUCAGCCAUGCUUUUUGGACAAACAGGUGCUCAGAAUGGCCACUGGCCAAUACCCUGAGUGCCUAGCACCAGAAGUGCAGCCCAGGUGCCCUCCAGUGCUUGGUGCCAGCUGCUACUGAGCGCUCCUUGCGGCCACACCCACUCACCUCACCUGUGUGCCAUGUGAUGGCCUCCUGUGAGACACCGUGUGCCUCAGGAUAUUCUGGGCCAUGGUGCCCAGUGGUGUCUCUUGAAAACUUAACACUCUCCCCAGGAAAAAGCACAUGUGCAUGAGUGUGUGUGUCAGUACCAUAGCACUCAAUCUACAUACCCUGCAGGGGGAUCAGGAAGCCCCUCUUCCUGUGUCCCUGGGUCCCCAGAUUCCAGGUUAGGAACUCUUGCUGAGGCAUGUCACAGCAUGAGGGAGGAGGCAAGGGGCACUGCAGCGAGGAGUCUGGGUGUGAGUUUUGCAUCAAGGUGGCAUGUGACUCGGCAUGUUGUGCCAUCUCUCGGGCCUUGGUGUCUAAUAGGAUUGUUCUGGGAGCUGGUCUAGUGUCCUCAGGGCUCUUCCCAGCUGUACUGUACUGUCCCCAGGGUCAGGCUGGGCAAGGGGAGGAGGUUCCAAAUCUCUCUCAGCAGUGCAUCCUGGGGAAGGCAAUCAGCCAGCCAGAAGAGACUGAGCAAAGGGCAAGUUCCCCUUUGUGAAAAAACUGCAGAAGCUUUAAGAGGUGCAACUACUUUCUAUUUGAUUUUAAUUUACUUUAAAACAAUUUCAAAAUAUUUUCUUCAAUAUCUCUGUGACAGGAUAACCACUAAGUUUUUAUAAGGAUCUGGAUUUAAAGCUCUGCUCUGGGACUCUUUAGCUGUGUGACCUUAGCAAGACUGUUUUCUGGACAUGGCAUGAAACAGCACAAGGGCAGGAGGAUUUCCAGAAGGACCAUGCUUCUCCAAGUGGAAUGUCUUCAUUGAAGAUUUCCCUCUACAAAGAGCCUGUUUUUGUUGGGAGCCAGAAGAGCAAGACAGUGAGAUUUAAGACUGUGAACUAAUAAGCCAGUAGGACCUCCCCUGGAGCCAGGAUAUUAAAGAGCCAAAGGAAGUGGAAGCCUUUCCGAUGGAAGAGAAGAAUCUGGAGUCGACACAGAGCAUUUGCACGGACAAGGGUUGUGUGUCCAACUCCUGGGCUGUGAAUGCAAGGGCAGCCUCAGGGCGAUCGGGGGAGAUUUGCCAGGCAGAAUAUGUGGCUGCUGCUGUGUCCAGAGGAAGAGCAGCCCCCUCUAUCUCUUCUUCCAAGCCUGCAGUUCCGGAGGAAUGUGAAGCAUUCCCAAUGGGUCUCUGGCAAACUGGCUAGACUUGACCUGUUAACCUUGUGUUUAAAAACACAUCUUAGCUGAGUUGACCUCACCUGAGAACCUGCCCUCAAAGCCACUUCUGUUUAGCCCCUCGUGUGACAGGGCCUGCCCAUCCCCAGGUUUCCUUUCCAUCCUUUGUAACUCAAGUGAGGACAUGUGUAAGAAAGGAGGGUGCCAUAUAAUAAUAAAUGUCUUAAAGUUUGUGUCUA